rnacentral:lncRNA from 1 species
UAAGUGAAUAACGAGUAAUAAUUUUAAUAUGCUUAUUAUAUACAUUACAUUCACAUUCACAUCACUACAAAACACAAUAAACAACUCCUAUAUAUCUUCCCCCGGCUGCCAAAAGCACAACAGGGAAAAAAACUGGAAAAUCAGCUACUUACUCCAUAUAUUAUUAUCAGUUGACGAUGAUGUAAGGUUAGUGACUUCUACACACAGAGAGCGCGUAAUUAACAUCAGUUCACACGUCUCGUUUGUAUCAUAUGAGUUCUCAGACUACAAUCCUUCACCUGAAAAGGGUAUGAUUCAAAAUAUCCAGGUCAAGAAAGAAUAUUCAUAGUUUCGGCUUAAGGUCCCAAAAGAACCUAAUACAUACAUGAGACUGUAUAUUUAUAAUUGUACCUUGAGGGCUGAUAAAAAGGAUAAGAAAUCUUUGCAAAUCCUAAGCAAAGCUCUCUCUUUUGCAGACACUUUGGCGAUUUCGGUCACCAUUAAAUUCACUUCUUCAACCUGAAAAUCCACAUCACGGGUCGCUGAUAAUUUGUUUUUAUAUGAACCUCCUCAAAUAACAGUUUACUUUUUAUUUGUCUAAAUCUCAAACAACAGUAUAAAAAAUUACAAGUACCUGUAAGCAAAGUGUGUUCAUUGAUGAAACCAUUGCCUGCAUCACAUCGAGUGCAGAAUUUAUGGCAUCUUUCAUGCUUUGGAGGUCAGCCUAAAUAAAUGAAUCAUAAAGUAUUGAUCUUGUGAGUUCUUGAAAGACACUGAUGUUAUUAGUUCUUGAUAAACACAUAAUGAUAAAGUAGAAUAAUACAAAAGGCACGUACAGUUGCUCCUGCACCAACAGGAAGACGGAGAGUGCUCGCCUUCAAAGCUUCAAUGGCUCCAAGCAAUGAUAUUGAAUGGUCCUUAUCUAAAUAAGCCCAGUCUUCAAGAAAAACCAUCUAAACGCGUUCAAGAAAACGGAAAUUAGGUUUUGCAAAGAGUGUUGUAAGUAUUUACUAGAAGAGGACGAGGAUAAUCCAGCUCAGUUAAGAAAGUUCACCCUCAACGACAAUUUUUUAUAUUAUUGAACCAGAGACAAGGUGAAAAACAGCUAUGCAACUAAACACUAAAGCGUUUGGUUGUCGGAUCCUACCGGGCCACCGGUGGUGAUCCAUGGGUUUAGUGUUCUCAACAUGAUCUCCUACUUGACUACCAAUUUUCAAGGUGGGGGUUCUUUUUCUUUCAGGGGUACCCUUCCUAAUUAAGUUAGGUGAUUGUUGGGUUAUUUUGGUCUUACUAAUUGGUAGAGAAAAGGCUUCACCUUGAAAAGAAACAGACAAACUUCUUGUAGAUGUAACCAGAAGUUUAUCAGCCGCCGACAACUCUCCACCACCACCACCACCGGCAUUGUUAGGUUUUAAGGUAAGAUCCGGUCUUGUGGGUCGCCUCCGGUCGACAGAAAGCGACCGUUUUGCUACCGGAGUUGUCGAAUUUCUUGAAAUUAGCGGAGAAGGAGCCCUUCUAGAAGGUGUCACUGUGCGUAAUGAACCCGAAUUUGAAUUCGAAUUUGAAGUUGAAGGAGAUAGGUAUCUUGAAGAAACUUGUCUUGAUUUGGGUCUAACUGGGGUGAUGACGUCAUCAUCUUUUUCAGUCGGCAACAAUGAAGGUCGAAUUGUAUGGUUUCUGGUGGUUGUUUCAGAAACGGCAGCCACCAUCAUCAAAGAAAAUACAUAUAAAUGAUACCCAGAUGAAAAUUUCAAGAACCCACCUCACAUUGUCGAUCUAAGCCAUUUAAAGAUCAAGAAAAACCUAUCUUUCUCCGAAAAGAACGUAAUUUCCUGCAAGAAAAAGAUCAUGAACUACCAUAAUUAUCUAAGUCCGUAAAUGGGUAGGCGAAAUUUCCUAUCUUUCUUCAGAAAUAUAUGUAAAUUUAAGUGCACAGCCAGUCUUAGUGACGACCGUACAGCGUUAAGAGGUUGAAGAUUUAAGAGAAAGUAUGAUCCUUUAAUUUAGAGAGAGAGAAUGAGAGUGGGGUUUUGUGAAUCUUUGGAGAAGCGUUACGCUAAACAAUUCAUAAUUUCUUGUUUUUAAGGAUC